AUUGUGGUGCUUCCAUGACCUGAUUUUCCUCCAUGACAGUGAUAGUCCAAGACCUUCAGUGUCAAACUUGGACACAAGCCAAAACACUGGGAAUGGUGAGGAUACGUCUUCCGGAGAAACAUCUGAUAAUGAGAUCUUCAAUGACCCACUGCUGGAUGCUUCUGAUGCUUCCGAGGUAACACCUGGAACUGCUGACAUCCCAGCUGGUCAACAUGUGGUGUCAGACCCACAUGCGCCUGGACCUUCUCGUGCGCGACCCGCAAAAAGGCCACACAAAAGGAUUAUUGAUGAAACUCAACUAAUGCAAAAGGCUUAUGACGAACUUAGAUCAUUGUCUCAAACAGAAAAUGUGUUUUCUGCUUUCGGAACUGUGGUUGAAAAUAAUCUUAAAGAAAUGAAUACUGAGAAUCAGAUUUAUGCUCAGAAGUUAGUUCAGGAUAUAAUUUUUCUCGGUAGACUUGGAAGGCUUUCGUCGUCUACUAAGAUCGUAGAAUAACUGUACUCAUGUAACAAUUUUAUUAUUUGGUAAAGGUAAUUGACAAAAUGUAAGUACAUCGACAUCACAUACAUACUUGUAUGUAUCUAUGUAAGCGCUCAAAGAUCCAUCAAGUUCGUUCAGAAUUAUAUUAAUUUAUUUCGUAGUGCAUGGUCUGUUUAUUGUUUUGAAUGUGCAUUGUAUGCAAUUAAGUCAGUUGUGUAUUACACAAAAUAUUACCACUCAUUUAUAUAGUUUUCUCAUUAGUUGAAAUUCUAUAAGUAUGCAAUGAAGUCAAUUAUGUAUUACACAAUAAAAUAUUACCAAUCA